CUACACAUUUUCUAUCUAUAUUUUAUAAACAUAUACGAGAAAUUUCAAGUAUUUCAACUGGUUUGUAACAUUACUAUUUUAGGAGAAAUUAGUUAUCCAGAUCAAGUUAUUCAAGCUCAGGUUUUAGUGGGACUAUCUGAAGGUUUUGCGGAAAGAUAUUUUAGCUUUGGCGUCCAGAUAUGAGUAGUAGCAGCCGACAUUGACAUAAUUUCUACCUACCAAUGCUGAUUCAAAGCAGGGUGAGCUUACUGUCAUUCGAACUUAAUCCUCCUAUGUCUACUCCAAUUUAGUCUUUUGUACUCAAGAAUACUUGUAUAUAUAAUGUAUAUUUUGAAUUCUAUGCAAUACUCUUGUAUCUUUUAGUAGUGGCUCUACCAAGUCUUGAGAGGGAUUCAUUUGUGUAAUUGGUCCUUUUCCUUCCCUUGUUUUAGUAUAUAAUAUAUGUUUUCUUUC